CUGUUUGAGAAGGCACAGGCGCUCCUCUGAGCUCACCAAGCACAGCGCCAUACAUUGUAUAGUGGCUGUGCUUGGUAUUGCAGCUCAGCCACAUUCACCUCUGUGGGACUGAGAUGCACCCAGGCCAUGUGAGCGAUGAACGUGACGUCACUGGCCUGGCAAAAGGCCAUGGCGCUCACAGAAGUGCUGCUGCCU